rnacentral:rRNA from 1 species
UACGGAGGGUGCGAGCGUUGUCCGGAAUCACUGGGCGUAAAGGGCGCGUAGGCGGCCCGGCAAGUCAACGGUGAAAGCUUGGGGCUCAACCCCGAGUCGGCCGUCGAUACUUCCGGGCUGGAGCACUGUAGAGGCAGGUGGAAUUCCGGGUGUAGCGGUGGAAUGCGUAGAGAUCCGGAAGAACACCAGUGGCGAAGGCGGCUCACUGGACCGGUAUUGACGCUGAGGUGCGAAAGCGUGGGGAGCAAACAGG